GUCUACUGCCAUGCCAUCCUGAACAAGCUCGAUCCUGUCUGAUCUUGGAAGCUAAGCAGGGUCGGGCCUGGUUAGUACUUGGAUGGGACACCACCUAGGAAGACCAGGUGCUGUAGGCG
rnacentral:rRNA from 1 species